rnacentral:rRNA from 1 species
AAUAUUGGACAAUGGACGGAAGUCUGACGCAGCGACGCCGCGUGAGCGAUGAAGGUCUUCGGAUCGUAAAGCUCUGUCCUUGGGGAAGAAGGGCUUCGGCCUUGACGGUACCCAAGAAGAAAGCCCCGGCUAACUACGUGCCAGCAGCCGCGGUACUACGUAGGGGGCUAGCGUUGUCCGGAAUUACUGGGCGUAAAGGGUGCGUAGGCGGCCCUUUAAGUCAGAUGUGAAAGGCCACGGCUUAACCGUGGAACUGCAUUUGAAACUGGAGGGCUUGAGUGUCGGAGAGGGUAGUGGAAUUCCCAGUGUAGCGGUGAAAUGCGUAGAUAUUGGGAGGAACACCAGUGGCGAAGGCGACUACCUGGACGAUAACUGACGCUGAGGCACGAAAGCUAGGGGAGCAAACA